rnacentral:rRNA from 1 species
GAUGAACGCUGGCGGCGUGCCUAAUACAUGCAAGUCGAGCGAACAGAUGAGGAGCUUGCUCCUCUGACGUUAGCGGCGGACGGGUGAGUAACACGUGGAUAACCUACCUAUAAGACUGGGAUAACUUCGGGAAACCGGAGCUAAUACCGAAUAAUAUAUUGAACCGCAUGGUUCAAUAGUGAAAGACGGUUUUGCUGUCACUUAUAGAUGGAUCCGCGCCGCAUUAGCUAGUUGGUAAGGUAACGGCUUACCAAGGCGACGAUGCGUAGCCGACCUGAGAGGGUGAUCGGCCACACUGGAACUGAGACACGGUCCAGACUCCUACGGGAGGCAGCAGUAGGGAAUCUUCCGCAAUGGGCGAAAGCCUGACGGAGCAACGCCGCGUGAGUGAUGAAGGUCUUCGGAUCGUAAAACUCUGUUAUUAGGGAAGAACAAAUGUGUAAGUAACUAUGCACGUCUUGACGGUACCUAAUCAGAAAGCCACGGCUAACUACGUG